UUCCUGCCCGACUCAGGGGGCACCGCCUUCCGGGUAGUGGACACUGAAUUUUAGCCUUCGGGUCAGUGAACGGGCAGAACGGACGGCCCAGCUUACUGUUGUGACCCCGCCGAGCCACAGUGACGGGGAGGGGCGGGGGCCGGACUGACAUUAACCUGCCCCUCCCCCCCCCCAAGCCGGGACUCUGCCCCUGUUGUUGGACGCUGCCUUUGGGGCCAGGACUCGGACCGUGCCCCACGGCCGGGGGGGGCUUGAUCCCCUUUUGGGGGAGGGGCGGCGCCGGCUGGACGGCAGAUGGCCCCCCCACCCAUGUUGUUUAAGUUUUAUUUUUUCAAGGCAAUAUUAUAAAUAUAGAGAAAUAAUCUAUAGCCCCCCCCCCCCCGUCACUGGGAGGGAUGGGCAUUGGGGGACAGCCCCUCGGAGUUAUGUUUCCAUGGAGAUGUGUUUGAUUCUGCCCUGCUGUGGGGGAGGGGGCUGCAACCCCUCCUGUACCCCCCAGGUUGAGGAGGGGGAUUGAUCCAGGGGAUUAUAUUCUGUGGUCACUCGCCCCCCGCUCCAAAUUCUCCUCUCCUGCCCCCCACACCCACUGAGCUGUGGGGACAGAAGUCUUCCAGAUGUGGGGGAAAUGGGGGCAGGGAGGGGCUGCUGUUGCAGAUGCAUGUGUGUGGGCGGUACCCCAGCUGUGAUAGGUCCCUUUGCAGCAGUGUGAUGUGUGGGGGUCCCUGACAGUCCACAUCCGAGGGAUGCGUCUCUAGGGGGUCCCUUUGCAUGUCCCCUUUUCGCGGGGCUUAGCUCCGCCCCCACGUCCUGCUGGGUCAGCAUGUGGGGUGAACGCUGGCUGACGCCAGUGAGUUCAGUGGGGCGGCUGCCAGCUCCCCUUCCCCACUUAGUACUCAGGGCUCACUUUCUCCCAGCCCUCAAUCCUACAGUACUCGGCCCUUACUCUGCCACCACUCCCCUGUUCCUCAGUCCUUAGUCUAGCCCUGUUUCUAUGUUACUCGGCCCUUACUCUUACAUUACUUAGCCCUUACUCUGGCCCUACUUCCAUGUUGCUCAGCCCUUACUCAGUUCCUACUCCCAAGUUGCUCAGGCCUUACUCCUACAUAGCUCAGCCCUUACUCUGGCCCAUUCAUGUUACUCUAUCCCUCUUCUCAUGACACUCUCCUCUUACUACCUUGUAACUCUGCCCCACUUCCAUGUUACUCAGUCCCUACUCACACAAUACUGUCUGUACUCCCAUAUUACUUAGCCCUUACCUGACCCCCUACUCAGAUGAUACUUAGCCCUGCUCAGUCCUUACACAAAUGUUACUCGGUCCCUACUCUGCUGUUACUUGGCCCGUACUCAAUCCAUAGUCAAAUCUUACACAGUCCCUUGGCCUCUUAUUUGGCUCCUACUCAAAUGUUACUCAGCUCUCACUCAGCCCCUCCUUGAUCUUACUCAGUCCCUCCUCAGCUGUUACACAACUGUUCACCUGUAGUCAGCCCCUAGCAUGCUCCUGACUCAGCCCCUCCUCAGUCACUUUCCAGACUCUGCUCAGUACUUACUCCCAUCCCUAGUCUUUACUUAGUCCUUACUCAGAUGUUACUGCGCAUCCUCUCACUACUAACUCAGCCCCUACUCGACUGUUACUCUCUACUCAUUGUUUGGUCCAUGCUCAGGUGUUACUUGGCCUAACAUUAUUCUGUGGUUACUGAGGCCCUACUCAUCUGUUACUCAGCCCUUACCCAGUCUGAGUUUACCUGUUACUCCCAUCCCUGCUCAAACCUGACAGUCUUUAUUCUGACAUUACUCCAUCCUUACUUGAGCUUUACUCCAUCCUGAGCUGGUCGCUCACACAUUACUUGUUCCUUACUCCAUAAAUCCAGAGGGUGGUUGAAGUAUCACGGGGUGACCUGGAGUAACAGAAAUGAAACUCACUAGGCCACAGUGAGGGGACUAGGAAGAAUUUUGGCUGUGAGCCGGGAGCUCCCAGAGAGACCUGGGCACGUGGGACGCUCACAGGGUGACGCUGACCCCACAGCUGUGCAAAUGGUGGGUGCAGGCAAGGGAUUUCCACUGGAGCCAGAGCCUGGGCCCAGCGCUGGCCAACCGUGUUGCAGGAAGAAGAGCUCAGGCUGGGCCUGGUGCAGUGAGGGCGGCUGGGACGGCCAGGAGCAGGUUAGCUGACAGCUCAGGCUGAGGUGGGCCCUGCUGGACUCGCUGUAAAUAUGCUGGGAGGACGAGGAGGGGCUGGAGCAGCAGCAAGGGCCAGACGCCCUGGAUAGCGGGACGCUCUUGCUGACUCAGCUCAAGAUGGCCUGAGCUCCUGAGGUAGCGACACCAGCUGGAAUUGGAGCAGCUGGCCCAGGCGGCCCAUCCAGGCCUGGGUGCAUACUCAUAUGAUAUUUGGGCUUUCCAACCUCUAAUUAGUCUGGUUUUAGUUUUUACCCAGUCUUCAGUCAAAUGUGAUGCAGGUGGGACAUGUUACUCAGCCAUUGGGCUGUAUUUACUCCAUCCCUACUCUUGUUACCCUGCCUGUACUCAGCUGUGAGUCCCUACCCAGCCCCUACAUAGUCUUAGCCUAGAUGUUACUCUGUCCUUACUCAAAUGCUACUCUGCCCCUACUCAGUCUUAUCUUAAAUGUUACUCUAUCCCUACUGCAAAUGUUACUUGGUCCUUACCCAGACAGGACUCCAUCCUUACAGUCUCAACUUAGUUGUUGUUCAGUCCUUACUCAAAGAGUAAUCUGACCCUACUAAAAUGUUACUACCUCCUUACUCAAACACUACUUGGUCCGUACUGGAACACUACUCCAUUAGUUCUCAAAUGUUACUCAGUCCCUACUCAGUCUUACCCUUAGAUAGUACUUAUUUUUACUAAAAAGUUAUUGUAUUCUUACUCACUCCUGAAUCAAAUGUUACUUGAUCCAUACCUAGCCCUUACUUUGGCUUAGUUGAUUUGUUACUCCUUCCUUACUCAAAUGGUACUUGGUCCCUUUCCAGCACCUACUUGGUCUUACCUUAGUGGGUUCUCAGUCCUUAAUCAAACACUGCUCAGCCAUUACUCUGUCCUUACUUGUUACUCAGGCAAAUCCCUCCUUGUCUCUGCUGUAGUCCAACACUGCUCAGGACUGGACCCUGCGUCCCCUUCCAGCUGGAUCCUGCAGCCCCCCUGCACUCUGCACUCCCUGAUGGACCCUGGCCAGGCUGUCCCACCCAGAGGGCUCUGUGUGCUCCUGGUUCCCCCUAGUGGCUAGGAAGGAUCAACUGCAGUUGAAGGGGCCAAGCCUUUAACUCAGGGGUAAAGGCUGGGAAUUUGAACCCAGCUGUGGGAGUCAGUUUGAAGGCAGUCUCUAUAUCCCGCAGGCAGUGUGCCCCCCACCUUUCUCUCUAUAUUGUGUGUGCGCGCGUGUAUAUAUGUACAUAUCUAGCCUUUUUUAUAUGCAGCAUGUAGUGCUUGUGGGAUGGAAAGGCUUUCCCUGCAAGAGCCAUACCCAUAGUAAUAAAAAUGAUGAUGCCCCCCCAGCUGAGCUGCAGCCACCUCUGGGAUGGGGCAGUGGGGAACAGCCGCACGUAAUGUCGCACGGGAAGGGCUUGGCCGGUACUGAGAUGUAGCCAGCUCUCCACGUGGAUCAGAAUGG